rnacentral:rRNA from 1 species
UAAUACCGCAUAAAGCCAAGUUUCACAUGGAAUUUGGAUGAAAGGAGUAAUUCGCUUUGAGAUGGACCCGCGGCGCAUUAGUUAGUUGGUGGGGUAAUGGCCUACCAAGACAGCGAUGCGUAGCCGACCUGAGAGGGUGAUCGGCCACAUUGGAACUGAGAUACGGUCCAGACUCCUACGGGAGGCAGCAGUGGGGAAUAUUGCACAAUGGGCGAAAGCCUGAUGCAGCAACGCCGCGUGAGUGAUGAAGGUCUUCGGAUUGUAAAGCUCUGUCUUUUGGGACGAUAAUGACGGUACCAAAGGAGGAAGCCACGGCUAACUACGUGCCAGCAGCCGCGGUAAUACGUAGGUGGCGAGCGUUGUCCGGAUUUACUGGGCGUAAAGGGUGCGUAGGCGGAUGUUUAAGUGAGAUGUGAAAUACCCGGGCUUAACUUGGGUGCUGCAUUUCAAACUGGAUAUCUAGAGUGCAGGAGAGGAGA